GGGUAUGCAUCUAUUCCUUGGAGUCUGACU
rnacentral:piRNA from 1 species